rnacentral:tRNA from 1 species
GCGUGGGUGGCUCAGUGGGUUAAGCGUCUGACUUCAGCUCAGGUCAUGAUCUCACAGUUCGUGAAUUCGAGCCCCACGUU